rnacentral:rRNA from 1 species
ACGGGGGGAGCAAGCGUUGUUCGGAUUUACUGGGCGUAAAGGGCGCGUAGGCGGCCUGAUAAGUAGGGGGUGAAAUCCUGUGGCUUAACUGCAGGGCUGCCUCCUAGACUGUCGGGCUCGAGCACGGUAGAGGCAGAUGGAAUUCCCGGUGUAGCGGUGGAAUGCGUAGAGAUCGGGAAGAACAUCGGUGGCGAAGGCGGUCUGCUGGGCCGUUGCUGACGCUGAGGCGCGACAGCGUGGGGAGCAAACAGGA